CUGAUCACUGAACGCUGUAGUUAUUUGCGAGACGGUAAGGGAAGGUAGUGCAAGUCUACCGCUGCCCCGCAACUGUGAGCGGAACGAAAGCCACACGAAAGACUGGUUUGAGGUUAGAGGUAAGAGGUUAGUGGAAAAGACCAAAGAUAAAAAAUAGAAAAUUCGUCUUUUGCCUCGAACCUCUAACCUCAAACCUCGUACCUGUUUUUCAGCCACUGGACUUAGGUCCGGGAAGGCGUGGUAAGUAGGAAGCCGCAAGCCAGGAAACCUGCCCGACUCGUCAUGCGCCU
rfam:Deltaproteobacteria bacterium SM23_61 WORSMTZ_6700, whole genome shotgun sequence.